rnacentral:rRNA from 1 species
UACCCGCAGCACAAGUGGUGGUCAUUAUUAUUGGGCCUAAAGCGUCCGUAGCUGGCCUGUUAGAUGCCUGGGUAAAUCGAUGCGCUCAACGCAUCGAACUCCGGGUAGACCGGCAGGCUUGGGACCGGGAGAGGCGUGAGCUACUCGGGGGGUAGGGGUAAAAUGCGUAGAUAUCUGGAGGAACACCGGUGGCGAAGGCGGCCACCUGGACGGUAACUGACGCUGAGACGCGAAAGCGUGGGGAGCAAACAGG